rnacentral:rRNA from 1 species
GACAGAGGGUGCAAACGUUGUUCGGAAUGACUGGGCGUAAAGCGCGCGUAGGCGGGCUGGAAAGUCAGGGGUGAAAUCCCGGGGCUCAACCCUGGAAUUGCCUUUGAGACUCCCAGCCUUGAGUUCGAGAGAGGUGAGUGGAAUUCCGAGUGUAGAGGUGAAAUUCGUAGAUAUUCGGAGGAACACCAGUGGCGAAAGGCGGCUCACUGGCUCGACACUGACGCUGAGGUGCGAAAGCGUGGGGAGCAAACAGG